CUCAGAUUGAACGCUGGCGGCAGGCCUAACACAUGCAAGUCGAGCGGAUGACGGGAGCUUGCUCCUUGAUUCAGCGGCGGACGGGUGAGUAAUGCCUAGGAAUCUGCCUGGUAGUGGGGGACAACGUUUCGAAAGGAACGCUAAUACCGCAUACGUCCUACGGGAGAAAGCAGGGGACCUUCGGGCCUUGCGCUAUCAGAUGAGCCUAGGUCGGAUUAGCUAGUUGGUGAGGUAAUGGCUCACCAAGGCGACGAUCCGUAACUGGUCUGAGAGGAUGAUCAGUCACACUGGAACUGAGACACGGUCCAGACUCCUACGGGAGGCAGCAGUGGGGAAUAUUGGACAAUGGGCGAAAGCCUGAUCCAGCCAUGCCGCGUGUGUGAAGAAGGUCUUCGGAUUGUAAAGCACUUUAAGUUGGGAGGAAGGGCAGUACGUUAAUACCGUGCUGUUUUGACGUUACCGACAGAAUAAGCACCGGCUAACUCUGUGCCAGCAGCCGCGGUAAUACAGAGGGUGCAAGCGUUAAUCGGAAUUACUGGGCGUAAAGCGCGCGUAGGUGGUUCGUUAAGUUGGAUGUGAAAGCCCCGGGCUCAACCUGGGAACUGCAUCCAAAACUGGCGAGCUAGAGUAUGGUAGAGGGUGGUGGAAUUUCCUGUGUAGCGGUGAAAUGCGUAGAUAUAGGAAGGAACACCAGUGGCGAAGGCGACCACC
rnacentral:rRNA from 1 species